GACGAACGCUGGCGGCGUGCUUAACACAUGCAAGUCGAACGGAAAGGCCCUGCUUUUGUGGGGUGCUCGAGUGGCGAACGGGUGAGUAACACGUGAGUAACCUGCCCUUGACUUUGGGAUAACUUCAGGAAACUGGGGCUAAUACCGGAUAGGAGCUCCUGCUGCAUGGUGGGGGUCGGAAAGUUUCGGCGUUUGGGGAUGGACUCGCGGCUUAUCAGCUUGUUGGUGGGGUAGUGGCUUACCAAGGCUUUGACGGGUAGCCGGCCUGAGAGGGUGACCGGCCACAUUGGGACUGAGAUACGGACCAGAAUCCUACGGGAGGCAGCAGGGGGGAAUAUUGCACAAUGGGCGGAAGCCUGAUGCAGCAACGCCGCGUGCGGGAUGACGGCCUUCGGGUUGUAAACCGCUUUCGCCUGUGACGAAGCGUGAGUGACGGUAAUGGGUAAAGAAGCACCGGCUAACUACGUG
rnacentral:rRNA from 1 species